AUAUGGCGACAUAGAGCGGAACCCGAAAACCUGUCUCAGUUCGGAUUGGAGUCUGCAACCCGACUCCAUGAAGCUGGAUUCGCUAGUAAUCGCGCAUCAGCCACGGCGCGGUGAAUACGUUCCCGGGCCUUGUACACACCGCCCGUCACACCAUGGGAGCCGGUAAUACCCGAAGUCAGUAGUCUAACCGCAAGGAGGGCGCUGCCGAAGGUAGGAUUGGCGACUGGGGUGAAGUCGUAACAAGGUAGC
rnacentral:rRNA from 1 species